rnacentral:lncRNA from 1 species
GUGAAAUAAUAAUAAUAAUAAUAAUAAUAAUAAUAAUAAUUGAGAAGUUUCUGCCCCUCACUAGAAAGGGAGAGUGAAAUAAUAAUAAUAAUAAUAAUAAUAAUAAUAAUUGAGAAGUUUCUGCCCCUCUCUAGAAAGGGAGAUGAAAUAAAAAAUAAUAAUAAUAAUAAUAAUAAUAAUAAUUGAGAAGUUUUUGCCCCUCUCUGGAAAGGGAGAGUGAAAUAAAAAAAAUAAAUAAUAAUAAUAAUAAUAAUAAUAAUUGAGAAGUUUUGCCCCUCUCUAGAAAGUGAGAGUGAAAUAAAAAUAAUAAUAAUAAUAAUAAUAAUAAUUGAGAAGUUUCUGCCCCUCUCUAGAAAGGGAGAGUGAAAUAAAUAAUAAUAAUAAUAAUAAUAAUAAUAAUAAUAAUUGAGAAGUUUUUGCCCCUCUCUAGAAAGGGAGAGUGAAAUAAUAAUAAUAAUAAUAAUAAUAAUAAUAAUAAUAAUUGAGAAGUUUCUGCCCCUCACUAGAAAGGGAGAGUGAAAUAAUAAUAAUAAUAAUAAUAAUAAUAAUAAUUGAGAAGUUUCUGCCCCUCUCUAGAAAGGGAGAGUAAAAUAAAAAAUAAUAAUAAUAAUAAUAAUAAUAAUUGAGAAGUCUUUGCCCCUCUCUAUUAAGGGAGAGUGAAAUAAAAUAAUAAUAAUAAUAAUAAUAGAGAAGUUUUAGUCCCUCUCCGGAAAGGGAGAGUGAAAUAAGGUUAGGAAGAAUAAGAAGUAUUAAGAACUUUGAGAAGUUAUGGGCCAUACUGAGUCUAAAGAGAGAAGGCUCUUUAUAGAAAUAAUAAUAUGUAUGCUUGCAAAAAGAGGCAUAAAAGCCUCUUCGGGACAGAUUUCUAAAUUUCUACAUUUCGUACAAGAACAAUGUCCCUGGUUCCCCGAAGAAGGAACUGUUAAUUUGGAAACUUGGAUGAUGGUGGGGGCACAACUUAGAAAAUAUUACGCUCAAAAGGGGCCAGAAGGAAUUCCUGUUGAUGCGUUUGCUCUCUGGAAUCUGAUUAGAGAUACCCUUGACCCCCAACCAGAGGAAAUGAAGGCAACUUCCCCUGGAGAGCCUUCUCCUGGAG